rnacentral:rRNA from 1 species
UACGUAGGGUGCAAGCGUUGUCCGGAAUUAUUGGGCGUAAAGAGCUCGUAGGCGGUUUGUCGCGUCUGCUGUGAAAACUCGGGGCUUAACUCCGGGCCUGCAGUGGGUACGGGCAGACUAGAGUGCGGUAGGGGAGAUCGGAAUUCCUGGUGUAGCGGUGAAAUGCGCAGAUAUCAGGAGGAACACCGGUGGCGAAGGCGGGUCUCUGGGCCGAUACUGACGCUGAGGAGCGAAAGCGUGGGGAGCGAACAGG